AAGCCAGAACUUAACAAAAAGUUUGAUCUACAAAUAUAGAACUCAAGAGAAAUCUAAAAAGGUCACGGAAAGACCAAAGAGUAUUUCUGGAAAGAACAUUGACUGUUCACCCAUUCUUUAGAGAGAAACCAGAGGCUGAAGAGGAGAAAUGUCUCAGGAUCCCUGAGUCUACCAAGAACUACCUGCUGACUCUUCUUCUUUCAGUUCAGCAGCCCCAAGCAGGCAGGUCCUUCAACAAACUCUGCCACUGCUGUUACAUCCAUGGCCUAAAGCAUAGGUCAGAAUUUCAGUGGAUAUUAAAAUGCCUUUCUCCGUUUCUUCCUCCUGAUCUCCAACCCAAGGCUCUCCAGGAACUGGACUGCUGUCCAACCAUCCUCAACCCGCUAACCCCUAUGAGAUACAAGCUGGGGUCAUUGAAGCCCGAGAAAUUUCAUACCUGGCUUGCCCUUACCUUUGUCCUUGCAGCAAAGGGCUAGAGCCAGUCUUGCUGAAGCCGCCUCCAACCAGCAGCUUCCCAGACUGGGUUGCUUUGUAGGCUCUGGAAGGGAUUUGAGAGGGGAGUUCCCACCUGAUCCAGCAAUCCUAUUGGCAGCCUGCUUGGCACCUUAGCUAGUUAAGGACUAGCAGUCAUGCCCACAGACUCCUUAUUAGUCCUUGGACCUCUCUCCUUUCUCUGUGAGGAUAAAUCAGGACAAGUAUUUAAGGAUCGAUAGAGUUUGAAAACCCAGAUCAGAGCCUUGGGAACAAGCUCCUUGGUAUCUGGUUGCCCAAGAAUCACUCAUUUUCAUUUAUUCUAGGAUCAGUUAAUACCCUGCUAGUCUCUGCCCUAGGCUCUCCUUGUGUGUUCGAGUCCAAGGGGUCCCUGCACUCAAAGGGAUUCCUAUGUACAGACACCUACCUUCGUGCAAGCAGGACUCGAGACUCUCAGGAUGCAGCCUGUUGGGAAGCAGAGGUCACUGACUGCAGGUUGUUCAAGUUCAGAGAAUGUCAGUCUGAAUGGACCUGAGCAAGUGGAGCAGAACUGUCCCAGAUGGAAGGAGCCCCUGGGAAGGAGACCAGUCAGGACUGGAAGCCGCGAGGAGUAUCGGAGAUCAAAGGACUAGGAACUAAACUUGGCCAAGCCUCUGCUCUUUCAACUUUUAACUCUAUUGACUGGGUUCCAGAAAAAAACAAGCAUUUCUAUACCCCAUUUCCCCUAGACUUCAAUGACCAUGAUUGACAACUGGGAGGGAUCUUUCUGAUCCAGGGAAAUAGGUAGCAAAUUCAAUAAAAAGUAUGAGGAAACAGA